AAGCCGUCUCGCCAUUCCUGUGCUGCUGUGGACCAAGGAGGUCUUGGGGACAAGAGGCCAGAUUCUUCACCUUUACUUCCAGCAAGGUAUGUUCCCCAUGGACUUCACGGGGUUACUCGUGGAGGAAACGCCGUUCCACAAAGCGGAGCUCAGCUGGGCAUGGUUUGGCCUCCACCAUCCGGUGGUUUUAAUUAUGGAGAGAAACUUCCGCAGACUUUGACUGGAAAUGUUCCGGCUGGGGGCAGUCCAAAUGAGGAAGAGGCUGGAGCACAAUCAAGCUAAUCAUCACAUUAAACAUCUCGUGUUCGGUGACCAGCUCUUGCACCCUGACAGCACCUUGCUCUGCAAACGGCUGUGUUGAAUUCGGUGGAGUGACAGCUCGUAUUCACAUAGCACUUUGCAUUUGACGGGAUCCCUAAAGGAUUUGCAAAUUUGUCAAACUGAAAUAUAGUCCAUUCACUACUGAAGUCAGCUUCCUCCAGCGUGGAAAGCACAUAACUCUGCAAGACAACUGUGUAGAGCAGGGAGUGAUGAACAACGCGCUAUGGAACCUCUGAAGGGGAAUUAGGGCAGGAAUGAUUCAUGGAGUAAGAGAUGUUUUCCAAGGUUAUAUCUUAGCAAGUACAAAAAUGUAGAAGGUAAAAACUAUUUACUGCUCUCCUGGGGAGUUGCCAGUUCUGUGGCCCUGCCCAUGCAUUGCUCCCUGAUGCUCCCGUAUCCCAGAGGACCCGCACCUGCCCGAGGAUGGCAUUGUAAGGGGUUGGCAAUGCCUUUACAGCUUCCAGGGGGAGAGAAAUGCAGCUGAGCAUCCUCCUCCUUGCUCUGUGUGACAGGACCCUGCACCCGAAAGGCAAUGGCAGGAAAACGCUGAAGUCAUCGCAGGUCAAACUUUUGGUAUCGCUUAAAAAAAAGGAGAAGUUGGGCUAUGGACGCAUGAGCAAGUUGCCCUAAGGAUCCCAUAUAUCAACUGACCUGUGAGAACGAUAUCCUUUCUGCAGUGAAAGCCCGGCAAUGCAAGUCAGGUCAAAAAGGAGACUUGCCUGGGAUUUUUCACUGUGUUUUUCCCACCCAGAUCCCACUAAAGCUGAGUGCGUGAUUUUGCUGUAAAAAAGAUGCUGAUUUGCAAGAAUGCAAAACCUGUGCUGACAUCAGUGGGAGUUGUGUAUCUGGAAUGAUUAAAGACCAAAGCCAAUGAUAUGACUGCAUGGUAUUAGCCUGGGAUCUGGGAAAUGAGCACUCUCUGCUCUGCAACUGUGUCUUCUUAAUAAGGGGCAACUUAAGGUGACCGAAAACCCAGUCCCGCUGAUCAUCUGCACUGUGAACUUCUAAAGUCAUCUCCCAGCAGCUGCCCAGUUUGACCUUGAAAGCUGUGAUGCACGUCUAGGUAAGGGCAGGUCUGCAGUCUGUCCUCACCUCCAAUCCUACGUACCCGGCGUGAUGGGCUGGACUGUCCACCGGCAGCAACACCCUCGUCCUCUCCUCCGGGCUCCCAGGUCCUCGCUGCGUUGCUUCUCCUUCCACAGCUCCUCGGGUGAGCUGAGCUCCCAGGGAGACCCCCUGCAAGAAGGGCUUUCUCAGGUACUGUGGUAAGAGGGAUGUAUUCAAUUGCUAUGGCUGUAGAUAUCUUCCACUACUAUUUUUUCCCAAACAUCAUCUGAUUUACUCCAGUGAUAAAUCCAAUGUUCUGUAUAAACAUUUAUUUCCUUGACAACCUAGUUUUCCGUUAGAAAAAUGCCCAAACCUGGGACCUAUUAUGGCAGUUGACAGGCAAAAAUUCAGCUUGUGUGGACUCAUGCUGUUUAGCAUAUAUACCCCAAGAGUGAGAAAAUGGCAUGUGUCACAAACCCACAACCACCUUAUUGUACUGCGAGAGCCACAGGGGAUGCACACGGUGACAGGGAAGCCAGGUUCUUUUCAGCCCUUUUUCAUAUUUGGAGUGUUAACGGGGCCAAGAUUAAAACAUCUGAAAUGUCUUUCAGUGGUAAGGACCCUCAAAUUAAUGAUUUUUGCAGACUAAUUGCCCCCCAAACAAUUUUUUAACCCACUGUUUGAUACAGUUUUACCUGUCAGGCUAAAGAGAGGUGUCAGAAAGCUUUUCGUUUCCACGAAAAGCAAAAUGAUGCAAAAAGCCAGGAGCCUGGCAGGAGAGGAUUUUCCCAGCUGAGAAUUACAAAAGAACACCUUCGUUUUAGAGACGAGUUCAGAGGUGAGCAUGUAAACCAGCCAGGCAUGGUACCAUGAUCAGCACAAAGCCUCGGCGCAGGCUUAGCAAGGAUGUCUGCUGGCACCCUGAACAUCACGGAGAAGGCUGCUUCAGGUUUCUGUUUUUAGGGCUGAGCUUUGCCUCAUUUCAUUAUGAUCGGACGUUGGGUGCUGAGGGUGUGCGGUCUCCGGUUGUGCCCAGAGAGCCAAAGAACAUCCCCAUAAGCCACGACCUGCAGCUGGAGCUUCAGGCGCUCUGGUAGCACAGGCGGGUUAUAAUUCACAAACAUCCUCAGAGGCUCCUGUGCCAUCAGAAAACAGGGAGGACAGGUCCAGCAGGCUCUCCCCGCUUUCUUGUUUGCUGGCCGUGGCUCAGGAGUAGAAGACGUGGACCGUAUGUUGGGGGGGGACUGCUCCAGACCUGCUGGAAUGCAAUUACCUCCGUGGUGCUUCAUCAGCAGUUUCCAUAUAAAGAGUAUUUUGGAAGGAGCAGAAAAAUGCUUUGUGCAAUUAAAAAUAUCAAAAAGGACUUGGGAUGGUAGAAUGUAAAUAACUAAAUGACCAAAUCAGCUUUCUCUUCUUGGAAGAGAUCCAUAACACAGAUGCUGGUGGGUAUAUUAUCUUUUGAAUGGCUCUGUCCUAUUCCUUCCUCAGCUGCCUGUACCUCCUGCUCUGCCGUGACACUGCUAGGCACCCUGCAUUGCCACACUCGAUUUCUCCAAAUAAUGGUCUUUCGAAGAAUAAUGCCCCUUUCCACAAGGUUGAGAAAUGGCUGAAUCAGUGAAAGCAGUGCUUGGAAGAUUUCCUGGGAGGUUACUGUCUCAGGUAAGUACUGGUCAGGACCUCAUCCUGUUCAGCCCAUUAGAAAUGCUGACACUGCAAAACCCGCUGGUGAGAUUUCAGGCUGUAGUCUUUCCCGUUAAAAACACCACAAAUAACCUCCCUUGCUCCAGAAUGAAAUAUGAACCUGGAGUUUUUUUCUGAUUUCCGCAAGUAAACCCAUUAAUGUCCGGAUCCAAAGCUGCUUUCCACAUCGGCAGGCAUCCAACCCAGUUGCAAUUUUCAAGUGAAAUUGUCAUUAAUGUGAUAGUGCAUGUGAAAGACAGGGUUGUGUAGCUGUGGUUAAUGAGACUGCUUUCACUUAGAUGGGCCCAGAGCAUUAAAUCUGUAUUCUGGGUAUGUUUGGUCCAGAGUAGAUGUGCUGUAGUCCAUGUCAGGAGCUGCAAAUGCAAACCUAUACUAUUUUCAUUAAAAUCAAAUCGAGAUCUUAACAAAGCAGCUAUAUUUUUGGCACCUAACUUGUUCUGUUAAAAAAAAAUACUUAUUUUAAAAAUUAAUAAUGCUAAUAGUCAUCUAAUUAUGUGAAAUGCUCACACUUAUUGCUUUGACUUUUUCCAUGGGGACGUGUCACUAAAAAUAAAAGAUGUUACUUUAAUACUGGCCAAAGCACAAUUCAAACCCAGCCACUGUUGACAUGAUACAGCUUUUCACCUGAGCAAAAGAGUCUAUGUUGCAGGAGCUCCAAGAGCAGUUUUGUUCCUUUAAAGUAAAUGAUUUUUGAAUCAAACCCAUUGAUCAGCUACUGUCAUUUGUCUAUUCUUUCUGUUGGUGCCAAAAGGACUCUGCUCUUUCUGCCUCUACAAAGAUGCAUGAUCUGAGCAUUCACUGAACAUCCAGUUUUGCUUGAAGCUUUGUGCUUAGCGAUACAUAAGAGGUUGAGAAAUGCUGAGAAAUAGGGUAUUAAGUGUAGGACACUGCAUCCAUCCAGUUAGGGGCACAGGAGAAACUAAGUCCGCUUGGUCUUUAACCUUGUUGAAUCCUUCGGGCUGGCGUAGACCUUGCAGCUGCUGCAAGGGAGAGCUGUACCUGGGUGGGCUUUUCAACUAAACCACCCGCGUGCGAGCAGCAGCGAUUGAUUUGGUACCCAGUGUGUGGUACCGAUGGAUAAACCCUGCUUUUUCAGACAUCAGUACCGGCGCCUGGCAUUUGCAAAGCAGAUCUCUCUAGAAUCGCCUUCACGUGGUAUUGGGGGGCUUUUGAUCUCUUUGGGUAUUGCGAGGCGUGGAACUGUGUGAGAACAAAAUGUAACACAAAUAAAAUGAUGACAUGAGAGAGAUGAAGGUGGUAUGGGUUAAGGAGGCAGGAUUUGGAGGGGGAGAAAAAAAAUUUCAAUUUUUCCAAUGUGGCUCACCAGUCCCCUGUGUGCAGACUAAUUUUAGAGAUAAUUGUUACAUGAUUUCCUGAAUAUAAUCUAUUGUUAUAUGUGCCCUGCAAAAUAAAGCCGUGUCUAAUUCUGGAUAACCACAGGGGUGAUUUCACAGUUACACUGAAAUGAGACUAAGGACUUGUUAAUGAUCUUUAAAGAUCACAUCAUUUAAUUCUGUGCUGUUGGUAGUUAAACCAAACUAGUCACAAAGGGGUACGCGCUCCUUCCAGUGCAGGCAGCAGCCCCUGUAAAUUCCGGCGGCAGGGAGAAAGGAAGAAGCCGCCGGUCACACAUCCCACCUCGGUGCGCCAGUGUCAGCCGAGUGUUUGAGACAAGGCAUGGGAUAAUUUGCUAUUUCACUUGCAUAACUAGUCCGCAACCUGGAGCAAAGGGUUUAAAGGCCAGGUCCUGCUGCUGCUGAGAGUGUUUCUGAAGUGCUAAGAGCCUCUGCCUCCCCAAACAGCGAAUGUGUGACAUGUUCCGAAGCAGGCGGGAAUUACCAGCCAGAAAAUGCUCACUCUCCAACAGGGCAAUUAGGAACACUGGGAGCUGCUGGGCACUUGAUGGGCUGGAGGUAAAAAAAAAACCCACUGUGGAAAAGUACCAACAGCUCAGGAGGUGAUGCUGCUAUUUUUCCUGCUUUCCAGUGUUUUCCUGGCUUCAGGUGUGAUUCUCCACUUUAAUGAAACCUUCAGGUUAGCUUAUGGAGGGAGAGACAACUCACCUUAAGGAGCGAACGAUAGAAUCACAUUUAUCUGUGGUUUCCAGUAGAAAAGAAGAAGGGAGCAAUCGGUUCUCCUCUCCUCUCCAAAAACAGGUCCCAGGAGCAGAUUAGAUGGAAAUAAUGUGAUGAGGAGCUAAAGUUCACCCAACAAAAUAAGGUAAACUAUUGUCAGCUUACUGGAAAUGAUUAAUGGAUUUUGAUACAUUUUGUCAAAUAGUUGUGAACAAAAAGGAAAGAAGAUGAUCAGAAAAAACAACAACUUUGAGAUAUGUUUCUGACUUUUUU